GGGGGCGUAGCUCAGGGGUUAGAGCAGUCGGCUCAUAACCGAUUGGUCGCUGGUUCGAUCCCAGCCGCCCCCA
rnacentral:tRNA from 1 species